GCGCCUGUAGCUCAACUGGAUAGAGCGCCGGCCUCCGAAGCCGUAGGUUAUGGGUUCAAGUCCCGUCAGGCGCA
rnacentral:tRNA from 2 species